UACGAAGGGGGGCUAGCGUUGCUCGGAAUCACUGGGCGUAAAGCGCACGUAGGCGGCUUUCUAAGUCAGGGGUGAAAUCCUGGAGCUCAACUCCAGAACUGCCUUUGAUACUGGGAGAGCUAGAGUCCGGAAGAGGUGAGUGGAACUGCGAGUGUAGAGGUGAAAUUCGUAGAUAUUCGCAAGAACACCAGUGGGCGAAGG
rnacentral:rRNA from 1 species